rnacentral:lncRNA from 1 species
GCUGCUGCUACUGCUGCGGCUGCUCCUCCUGCCACCAUCACAAUGAUCAAGUGCUCUCCUCCUCCUCCUCAUCCUCCUCCUCCUCUCUCUCCUCCACCUCCUCCUCCUCCUCCAUGCCAGCGGAGUGAUAUCAGGACAAGAGAGCUCAGUAAACACAGAAGCAGCAGCAGUAGCAGCAGCAGCCCAGCAGCAGCAGCAGCAGCAGCAGCAGCAGGGAGAGCAGAGACGGCAGCGGCGGCGGCGGCGGCGGCAGCGGCGGCCAGCAGCAGCAAAGAAGCAGCAGCCGCUUGAGGCCGGGAGACCGAACCCGGGGACAAGGUAAACGCCGAGUUUCUUCAAGGAGAUGAUUAGUUUGAUAGACCAGAAAUAAUAUCCUAAAACCUGGACUUAACUCAUUUCAAGAGCAUCAUCGAAUUAAAUAUUUUAGUUUGGCAAGAAAAGUAGCGUUUUCCUUGCACUCGACUAGCAACUCGUGCUUGGCUUUAAAAUGGGAUGUCAACAAAUAAGGUAAACUGAUGAUCAGAGGCAACGUGAUGUAAUGGGUGGAAUGCCUGGAAAGACUUGGUUGAAAUCCUGAGUACUACUAUCUCUAACAACUUAAUAUGAUCCUACCCAGAAAAUCCACUAGGAUUUGUCAAUAAAGCUUUGAUCUAAUUGUGGAUGUGAUUAGUGUUUGGGGAAGAAUUUCCCCCAUCAGGACUUCCCUGAAUGCCCCACAGGAUGAUCUAUCUAUAGUGCCUGCAUCACAAGAGGGUCG